AUGGUUUCUUAGGCUUAUUAUCGAGGUUGAUCGACGGCCUUCGUUGUUCUUCGACUUUUCGCAUUUUUUUCCCCUCGAAGGUAAGCAAUGUAGUUUUUUACAACUUUUAAAGGUAGGUUACCAAAUUUCAUUAUUAUUAUUAUUUUUAUUAUUAUUAUUAUCAUUAUUAUUAUCAUUAUUAUUUUUGAAUUUGCAGAUGGGAAAGUAUAACCACCGCGUCACGGUAAGUGGACUCCCAUUUGGGAGUGCAUUUACUCUGACUGUUCCAGGAGUUGGUGGUGGAAAUCGUGGCGGCGGUGGAAGGCGUGGUGGUGGAAAAGGCGGUGGAAAACGUUCUUUAAACGCUAAAGUGCCAAUUCAAAAAACAAUUCAAGAGUUAGCAACGGUUCUCAUAUUUUACAUUUUAAUUUUAUUAUAGAAAAAAAUAAGAAAAAUCAGCGAUGCUGGCGUUGCAAGGAGAAGGGACACUUCGGGAAUGAAUGCAAUUAUACAGAAGAAGAAGCUGCUGCCAAGAAGGCAGAGUUUUUCAAGAAGAAAGAAGAAAAAGCUGCUACUUCUACUUCUGCUGCCGCCUUCAAACCGCCAUUUGCGGGGUGGAAACCAGGCUUCGUUAUGCCGACCCCACCCACCAAUCCCAAUAAUAUUGAGAUGAAUUAAUGUCUUAAUUUCUUCCUAUUGUAUUAGAUUCUCGAAUAUUUUACUUAGUUCGUUUUUUUACUAAUAAAUGAGACAUUUUUUAUUAAAA